rnacentral:sRNA from 1 species
CACCGCAGCCCCUCUCGGGGCGUUUCCUCCCUAGACUUGGACCGCCCAUUCGUGAGCGGUCUUUUCUGCCCAGG